UGCUAAGGUCUGCUUGCAUAUAUCUGCCCUUUGAGGUUUCGUUAGAGGCCUGUUGGAAGUUUUUUCUUCUGGCGGUCAGUUGUUAUAAUCCAUUCAAAUAGCAACAACAUAAUUUUAUUUUAAGUGAUUUAUUUACUGUAACAUCCAAAGAUUGUAAUGAGCCAGAAAUUUCCGCAGGAAUGGUGGCCAAGUCAGCGCCUCUUUUCCUUAGAUUAUCCUUAAUCACUAGGAGCCUGCUAACACUCUCGAGUACAAACUGGAAACAGGUGUCCUUACCAGUAUUUCAUACACUUUUCAUCCGCUGGCCACAAAGUCUUCAUUUGUCCAUCCACUCUCACUGCCUCACUCUGUGACUCCAGUGGGAAGCUCUUCUUUGGCCUGAUUUUUCCCCCUAAACAAAGUACAUGUGGUGGCACCUUGUAAUGGCCUCAGAUGGCUGCAGCUCGCGCGCUGUGACUUGCAGCUGCCUCCGCAGCUCGGCGCGUGGCGCCUGCAGGCGAGCACAGGUUUUCCCUUCACGGGUGACCGGUGCAAUGUGCCAGGAAAUGAAACUACUUGGGCAGCCAGUUGGUAUUAUGAAUUCGUGACAGAGAGAAAUGAUUUUUCUGACGGGCUUCUAGUGAGAGUGAAGUCCGUGGCUUUCUCCCAGCCACCACGUCUCAGCAGGGGAUGGAUCCUGAGUUUUUUGUCCCCAGACCAUGCCGGAGAAGUUGGGAAACGCACUCCAGCCCUUGAGGGUGCCCAUCACUACAUUUUUCUAGUGCUUGUCUCUGGGGGCAUCCGUACCACACGCACCAUCCACCUUGGCUUUGCCUUCUGCUGUGUUUCCUGUGUAUUAUUUAACAACUUCUGGCGCAGAUCCCAUUUCUUAUGCUAUUGGUGGGAAAGGCAAAAAACAGAGGAAGGGCUCUGUCAUGCUCUCGUAUGCUGGAGCCUACGUGGGGAUUUCACGUUUUCCCGGCCAGAGCGUGUCGUGCUGCGUUUCUCACGGGUAAGCUGCCUGCUGCCAAGGCAGCCCUGUCCACUAUUCACGGCUCUGGUGCCAGUGAAGGGGGAGAUGGCAGACUAA
rnacentral:lncRNA from 1 species